UGCUCAGCCUUCUUUAUGGUUCAAUUCUCACAUCUGUACAUGACUACUGGAAAAAUCAUAGCUUUGACUAUACGGACCUUUGUUGGCAAAGUGCUAUCUCUGCUGUUUAACAUGCUGUUUAGGUAUGUCACAGCAUUACUUUACUAGUGGAUGAGAUGGU